rnacentral:rRNA from 1 species
ACGAACGCUGGCGGCGUGCCUCACACAUGCCCGUCGAGCGAAUGAAGUUCCUUCGGGAAUGGAUUUAGCGGCGGACGGGUGAGUAACACGUGGGCAACCUGCCUCAUAGAGGGGAAUAGCCUUCCGAAAGGGAGAUUAAUACCGCAUAAGAUUGUAGUAUCGCAUGAUACAGCAAUUAAAGGAGCAAUCCGCUAUGAGAUGGGCCCGCGGCGCAUUAGCUAGUUGGUGAGGUAACGGCUCACCAAGGCGACGAUGCGUAGCCGACCUGAGAGGGUGAUCGGCCACAUUGGGACUGAGACACGGCCCAGACUCCUACGGGAGGCAGCAGUGGGGAAUAUUGCACAAUGGGGGAAACCCUGAUGCAGCAACGCCGCGUGAGUGAUGACGGCCUUCGGGUUGUAAAGCUCUGUCUUCAGGGACGAUAAUGACGGUACCUGAGGAGGAAGCCACGGCUAACUACGUG